ACAUGAGAAGUUUGGUGACACUUGAUUUGUUUGUUAAGGCAUAAUGAAACCUCAGUGGCUAAAAUAGUUUUUGUCUUGGAGCAUUGAAAGAUAUAAGGGUGCA